rnacentral:rRNA from 1 species
UACGUAGGGGGCUAGCGUUGUCCGGAAUCAUUGGGCGUAAAGCGCGUGUAGGCGGCCCGAUAAGUCCGCUGUGAAAGUCCAGGGCUCAACCCAGGAACUGCGUCCGAUACUGGUUGGCUUGAAUCCGGGAGAGGGAUGUGGAAUUCCAGGUGUAGCGGUGAAAUGCGUAGAUAUCUGGAGGAACACCGGUGGCGAAGGCGACAUCCUGGACCGGUAUUGACGCUGAGGCGCGAAAGCCAGGGGAGCAAACGGG